rnacentral:rRNA from 1 species
UACGGGGGGGGCAAGCGUUGUUCGGAAUUACUGGGCGUAAAGGGCUCGUAGGUGGCCAACUAAGUCAGACGUGAAAUCCCCCGGCUCAACCGGGGAAGGGGCGCCGAUACGACCGGCCUGGAGGAACGUAGGGGGAGCUGGAACUUCCGGUGGAGCGGUGAAAUGCGUUGAGAUCGGAAGGAACGCCCGUGGCGAAAGCGAGCUCCUGGACGUUUUCUGACGCUGAGACGCGAAAGCCAGGGGAGCGAACGGG